rnacentral:rRNA from 1 species
UUCCGGUUGAUCCCGCCGGAAGUCACUGCUAUCUGAAUCCGACUAAGCCAUGCAAGUCUUGGGUUAAACCAGGGCAAACUGCUCAGUAACACGUAGUUAACCUGCCCUUAGGUCUGGAAUAAUCCCGGGAAACUGGGGCUAAUGCUGGAUAGGUGAAAACUCCUGGAAUGGUUUUUCACUGAACUAAGGAUGGGACUGCGUCGGAUUAGCUUGUUGCCAGGGUAAAAUCCUGGCAAGGCGAUAAUCUGUACGGGCCUUGAGAGAGGAAGCCCGGAGAUGGAUUCUGAGACAAGAAUCCAGGUCCUACGGGAUGCAGCAGGCGCGAAACUUUCCCAAUGCGCGAAAGCGUGAGGAAGGGAUUCAGAGUGCUUUCUCGUAUUUCGAGGGAGCUUUUCUAGAGUAUAAAAAGCUCUAGGAAUAAGGGGUGGGUAAGACUGGUGCCAGCCGCCGCGGUAAUACCAGCGCCCCGAGUGGUGACCACGCUUAUUGGGCUUAAAGCGUUCGUAGCCGGUUCGGUAAGUUCCUAAUGAAAACCUGCAGCUGACUGCAGGGCUUGUUAGGGAUACUGCCGGGCUUGAGACCGGGAGAGGCUGAGGGUAUUAUUGGGGUAGGGGUUAAAUCCUAUAAUCCCAAUAAGACCACCUGUGGCGAAGGCGCUCAGCCAGAACGGAUCUGACGGUGAGGGACGAAAGCUAGGGGAGCGAAGCGGAUUAGAUACCCGCGUAGUCCUAGCUGUAAACGAUACCCACUAGACAUUGGCAAUCUUACGGGGGUUGCCAGAGUCGUAGGGAAACCGUUAAGUGGGUCGCCUGGGGAGUACGGUCGCAAGGCUGAAACUUAAGGGAAUUGGCGGGGGAGCACACAAGGGGUGGAGGCUGUGGUUUAAUUGGAGUCAACGCCGGCC